GGCGAACGCUGGCGGCGUGCCUAAUACAUGCAAGUUGAGCGCUGAAGGUUGGUACUUGUACCAACUGGAUGAGCAGCGAACGGGUGAGUAACGCGUGGGGAAUCUGCCUUUGAGCGGGGGACAACAUUUGGAAACGAAUGCUAAUACCGCAUAAAAACUUUAAACACAAGUUUUAAGUUUGAAAGAUGCAAUUGCAUCACUCAAAGAUGAUCCCGCGUUGUAUUAGCUAGUUGGUGAGGUAAAGGCUCACCAAGGCGAUGAUACAUAGCCGACCUGAGAGGGUGAUCGGCCACAGUGGGACUGAGACACGGCCCAAACUCCUACGGGAGGCAGCAGUAGGGAAUCUUCGGCAAGGGACGAAAGUCUGACCGAGCAACGCCGCGUGAGUGAAGAAGGUUUUCGGAUCGUAAAACUCUGUUGGUAGAGAAGAACGUUGGUGAGAGUGGAAAGCUCAUCAAGUGACGGUAACUACCCAGAAAGGGACGGCUAACUACGUG
rnacentral:rRNA from 1 species